GGAGCCGUGGCACUGUCAAGUCAUCAGACGCGGUGAUUGCGAGGCCUGUGGGAAAGUACAAAAGCCUGGGCUAGAUUACCCCUCUCAUCGAGCCCGCCUGUGUGGCACCUGUUUCUUAUCACCCCACUAAGUUCCCGCCUCACAGGGUAGUCUGCCUAGCUAUUAAUCCUAUAUAUAGCCAGUGCCUCCACCCCCGAGAGAGAGAGAGACUGAAGCACAAAAGGAGCCGCGGGGAGCGGACCGGUAGAGGCUUCGGGGCAGACUGAAGCACGGAAGGAGCCGCGGAGAGCGGACCGCUAGAGGCUUCGGGGCAGACUGUAUAAGGAGAGAAUAAAGAAAAGCCUGACCACCGCCAGACCUUGUCGUGUGUCUUUCCUGCCGGCCGGGAGCGGACAUCGACAUUUGGAGGCCCGCACGGGGAUUGAUCAACCCCGAGACGCGGCGGUGGACUGCAUUCUCCUACACAGUGCUGCAGCUGCAGGACAGGAAUCGGGACGAGAACCAAUGUGGGUCCCAGAGAGGUUGACGCGACAAGUCCCUCGACUGAAGAUCAGGCCUGUUCCACCAGAGGCCAACCGCAGACCCAACAACAAGAUGAGCCCUAAAAGAACUGCAGGACAAUCCCUUUUUGGGGGCCUGGAACGGCUUGCUCCCCUAUGUGCUACCCUUGUAUACGCAUGGCUCACUCGCAUGGCCUACGACCGCGUUUAAAAGUGACAGGCUUCCCACAUUCUCCUCCCUAGACAACAACAUGUAGCAGGGUGGGUGAGUCAAUGACGGGUAAGAGCGUGCCUCCCCAGCACGACUCAACCUAAGCCAGGCCCUACCCCGUUCCGCUCGAAAGCCGCUGGAUUGUUAGAUAAAUUUCUCUCCGAGGGGAUUCGUGGAGAGAAAUGAGUGCAUGCCUAUGUGCAACCAGGUUCCGUCCGGUUCAUUCCUGGCCCUAGAAAAAAGGACGAGGGCCUCAGGGCCUUGGUGGACCCUGGGACGGCCGACCAGGGUCUACGCUAAGGGCCUACGGUGGGCCUCAGUUCGGGGCAUAGGCCUCUGCACUCUAUCCAGGACGGGCUGCGAUGCGCGUAGCCAUCAUUUAAAAUAAAAUAGGGGGAGAUGUUGGGAGCCGUGGCACUGUCAAGUCAUCAGACGCGGUGAUUGCGAGGCCUGUGGGAAAGUACAAAAGCCUGGGCUAGAUUACCCCUCUCAUCGAGCCCGCCUGUGUGGCACCUGUUUCUUAUCACCCCACUAAGUUCCCGCCUCACAGGGUAGUCUGCCUAGCUAUUAAUCCUAUAUAUAGCCAGUGCCUCCACCCCCGAGAGAGAGAGAGACUGAAGCACAAAAGGAGCCGCGGGGAGCGGACCGGUAGAGGCUUCGGGGCAGACUGUAUAAGGAGAGAAUAAAGAAAAGCCUGACCACCGCCA